UACAGAGGGUGCGAGCGUUGUUCGGAAUUAUUGGGCGUAAAGGGCGCGUAGGCGGCGCGGUAUGUCACCUGUGAAAUCUCCUGGCUCAACUGGGAGCCUGCAGGCGAAACUGCCGUGCUGGAGUGUGGGAGAGGUGCGUGGAAUUCCUGGUGUAGCGGUGAAAUGCGUAGAUAUCAGGAGGAACACCUGUGGCGAAAAGCGGCGCACUGGACCACAACUGACGCUGAGGCGCGAAAGCUAGGGGAGCAAACAGG
rnacentral:rRNA from 1 species